GGUAUAGACCCGAAACCCGGUGAGCUAGCCAUGGGCAGGUUGAAGGUUGGGUAACACUAACUGGAGGACCGAACCGACUAAUGUUGAAAAAUUAGCGGAUGACCUGUGGCUGGGGGUGAAAGGCCAAUCAAACCGGGAGAUAGCUGGUUCUCCCCGAAAGCUAUUUAGGUAGCGCCUCGUGAAGUCAUCUUCGGGGGUAGAGCACUGUUUCGGCUAGGGGGCCAUCCCGGCUUACCAACCCGAUGCAAACUGCAAAUACCGAAGAAUGUUAUCACGGGAGACACACGGCGGGUGCUAACGUCCGUCGUGAAGAGGGAAACAACCCAGACCGCCAGCUAAGGUCCCGAAGUCAUGGUUAAGUGGGAAACGAGGUGGGAAGGCCCAGACAGCCAGGAUGUUGGCUUAGAAGCAGCCAUCAUUGAAAGAAAGCGUAAUAGCUCACUGGUCGAGUCGGCCUGCGCGGAAGAUGUAACGGGGCUAAACCAUGCACCGAAGCUGCGGCAUUCAGAGGACAGAUUUCAGACGACAGAGGACGGAAUGAUGUCUUGAAGAGUUUGAUUAAUCAGGUUCUGGAUAGUAAUCGUCUGUGGCUGUGAAGCCAUAGCGAAAAUGCUGACCGGAUUGGGGCGUCAUCUGUAAGCUGUAUUCUGACGUCUGUUCUCUGGAUGGGUAGGGGAGCGUUCUGUAAGCCGUUGAAGGUGGCGCUGUGAGGCCCGCUGGAGGUAUCAGAAGUGCGAAUGCUGACAUAAGUAACGAUAAAGCGGGUGAAAAACCCGCUCGCCGGAAGACCAAGGGUUCCUGUCCAACGUUAAUCGGGGCAGGGUGAGUCGACCCCUAAGGCGAGGCCGAACGGCGUAGCUGAUGGGAAACAGGUUAAUAUUCCUGUACUGAAUAUGACUGCGAAGGGGGGACGGAGAAGGCUAGGCCAUCCGGGCGACGGUCGUCCCGGUUUAAGCGUGUAGGUGGGAGGAGCAGGCAAAUCCGCUCUUCUGUAACACUGAGGCGUGAUGACGAGCUGCCACGGCAGUGAAGUGGUUGAUGCCCGGCUUCCAGGAAAAGCCUCUAAGCGUCAGGUCAUAUUGAAUCGUACCCCAAACCGACACAGGUGGUCAGGUAGAGCAUACUCAGGCGCUUGAGAGAACUCGGGUGAAGGAACUAGGCAAAAUGGUGCCGUAACUUCGGGAGAAGGCACGCUGGCGGUAGGUGAGGGAGUUUGCCUCCGGAGCCGAAGCCAGUCGCAGAGACCAGCUGGCUGCAACUGUUUAUUAAAAACACAGCACUGUGCAAACACGUAAGUGGACGUAUACGGUGUGACGCCUGCCCGGUGCUGGAAGGUUAAUUGAUGGGGUUAGCCGCAAGGCGAGGCUCUUGAUCGAAGCCCCAGUAAACGGCGGCCGUAACUAUAACGGUCCUAAGGUAGCGAAAUUCCUUGUCGGGUAAGUUCCGACCUGCACGAAUGGCGUAAUGAUGGCCAG
rnacentral:rRNA from 1 species